UAGCGGCGCUGACAGAACGACCAGAGCAGAACCAAAACCACCACCACCAAAACCAGAACACCAGCUCCCAGGAAGCCCGCCAGCACUGGAGACAUGGCUGAGACAGAGAGAGGAGAGCGUCAGAGAGACAGGAUCACACUUCAGGUCCUGAACCAGCUGCACUGGACCCGGUGGAGGUCUGGGUCCUGGUCCAGAGUUUGUUCCUCAACACUAAAACGUUCCCUGAGCUCCACUGAUCCUGAAACAGUCGUUACAGUCGUCUGAUGGAAGACAAACGAGACCAGCCACCGCUCCCAGUCAGAGCACAGGCCGACGUGAAGCUGGGUUGAUACCUGUGUGUCAGGGCGACACUGCACCUGUCUGCACUCAGAGGUUUCAGUGGAGACACCAGGUGAGGACAGAGCUGUGAUUGGCUGCUUGUGUUUGUUGAGAGUGAAGACAACAUAACCUGCUCACUGUGUCACCGCUCUGAAUUAAUUAAUUUACUUCCCCACAGUCUCUCUCUCUUUCUCUCUUUUAUCCUCCCUGAUUAUUUUUUCAGUUAAUCAAUUAAUUGUAUUAUUGAUUGAUAACAGCUUUUAUAGUUCCCACAGGCCAGAGCUGAGAGAUCUUCAAUUCCCUGUCACGUGACAAACAACAAAUAAACAUCACAACAGUGACUCUGUCCAGAUGUUAAACAGCUGCUCUCAUUAACACACUUAAUUAUAAAAUAACACAAACAAACUCGUUAACGUUCAUCUGCAGGAAUCACAACCAAACUCCCACAAUCCCUCAGUCCUGUUGUUGUGGCUUUUCAUUCAGGCCGCAUCAGAUGAGCUCAUGUUUUGGAAAGAGCUGAAAGCAGCGGAGCUCGCUGCCUAGCAACACACACACACACACACACACACACACACACACACACACACACACACACACACACACACACACACACACACUGAGCUGGUUAGGCCUCCCUCUGACAGUCAGUUUCUGAUCUGUAAUAAUCAUUUAUCACAUCCAGUAGCAGCUCCUCUGAUUGGCUGGAUUUGAGCCAAUAGGACGAGGGACUCAUUAAUGACAGAGUUGAAACUGUUGAACAUCUGAAGACGUCGCCUUGUUAUGAUUUUUUACUAUUCUCUAACACUGUGUAAAACAAUCGAUCAGUUAAUCAAUAAUUAUUAAUAGAUGAUGAAAAUAAUGAUCAGCUGUAGUCUGACGUGUGUCAUGAAUCUGAACUGAAGCCUGAAUCACAUGAAGGAACAAUCAAUUCACAAAACUGAAUGUUUUUAUAACAUCAGGUCAUCGACAAGGUUCCUCAUUAAUUUAUUGAUUAAUCGACUGUUCUAAAAACUCCCUGUUCUGUUCUAUCACCUCACACACCUCUGAUCUGAUCGUGGUUCCGACAGUUUUCUCCACAAUGUUAGAAAACAGAGACAAAUGUCCACGUUAACAUCUCCAGUCCAAAACACACACCCAAUACAAUUCAGUGAUUAUCAGAAUUAUUGCUGAUUAGUUUUCUGUUAAUCAACCAAUCCAUUAAUUGUCUAAUAAAACUGUAGGUGAAAAACUCAGAGCUUCAACAGUUUGUGUUCUGAUCAGACAAACACACACGCACACACACACAUACACACACACUCUGAACAGGUGUUUGUGUUGUUGUUUCUCAGAUGUUAAAGGUAAAUUAAACAAAUUCUUUCCCUUUAAUUAAACUUCAUUAAAGUCUCUGCUCGUUGUCGUUUCAGGUGCUGGUUAUUUCCUGGAGUGAAGGUCAGUCAGCUGAUUACACUUCAGCUGUGUGUGAGUUGCGUUGCUGUUAUUACUGAAGUCACUAACGGCACUCUGUACUUUUAUAUCAUUAAAUUGUUAUUAUUAAUUCAUUACUGUAAGAUCAGGAGUUUACUGUUGCAGCUGUUUGAGGUGGAGCUGAAUUUAACGAUUAUUCUCACUAUUGAUUAAUCUGCUGAUUAUUUCCUCAAUCAAUCGCUAAAUUGGUUUGUAAAACUUCAGAAAAUAAAGAGAAAUCCUGUCACAGUUACUCAGCGCCACUCCACAGCUUUCAUCCGACCAACAGUCCAAACCUCAACACGAUUGAAAAUAAAUUAUUCAAAUUAUUCUCAAAGAAAAGGAGCAAAUCCUCUCAUGAGAGAAGCUGGAGCCAUGAAAUCUUUAAAUAAAAAAUAAUAAUGCAAAUUAAUUUUCCUCCAAUCAGUUCACCUUUAAUAAAGCAGAAUAUUGUAUUAGAUCUUGAUAUGCUUCAUGAGUAAAAAUAUUAAUUUAGUAAUGCAGUAAAAAGAGCAGUAUUUCUCACGUACAAGUACAAAUCUGAUUAAAAACAAAAUACUUCAGUAAAUAUACUGUGUGUGUAACUCAGCCCCAUUUCAUCUUUAUUUCCUGUUUUAUCUUUAGAUUUGUUCCAUAAAAUAAACAAAGUAAUGAGGGAAAAUGAUGCUGCCAUCUGUCAGUGUAACAUCUCCACACUAUUCUGAGAAAACACUGUUUAACAGUCUUUACCUUAAAAGUCCUGCGUUCUCAUUUUAAAUUAAGUAAAAGUAUCAUCAUAAAAAUAUUACCAACAGUUAAAGUAGCAGAUUUCAUGACUGUAUUAUAAUUAUUGAUUCAUACAUGUGUUCAUCACUUUAAUAUUGUAGCUGGUGAAGCUCAUUUCAAUUACUUUAUAUACACUGCUGUUAAAAUCUUAACAUAUAAUAAUCCAUCAAAAUUGAACUGAUCAGUUAAACAUUAAUUUGACUUAUUUUAAAUGUAAAAUAGAAGUAAAUGAGUAUUUCAGAGCUGUGAGUAAAUAAACUGUGUUAGAUUCCACCUGUUAAAUCACAUUUAAAUCUUAUAUGUUUAGAUCCUGUUCGUGUUUUCAUCUCAAAUCUAAACGUGAGUGAAUCUCAGUCACAUUAACAGUAAAAUCUGCAGGUGCUUCGGGUUCAGUUUUGCCCAGCGCCGGGUACAGACAUGACGUCACCCGGUACCCACCCCGAUUGGCACGCGCACGCACACCGAGGCCCACGAGAGGCAGACGGUGCGUAGGAGCACGAGAACGCCCUGUUUACCGCGUCUGACGGGAUGGUGUUAUUUUUAUUAAUGGAUUGAUCACAGUGAUGUAAUAAUGCAGCGGCGCCUUCGUCCGGUUUCCCUUUGUUUCCUUUUAUUGUUUAUUAAAUCACAGCUGGAUUGAUAUGUUUGAUUUUAAAUGAUCGAUCCCAACCUGUCUGCUGUCAAAUAUUCACAUUUAAAUCGAUUUAAUCGAUUUGAUAACGACGAUGCUCAAUAAUCUGCAGGAAAUCGGAACGUUUUUAUGUUUAAAAUGAAUUUAAAAAACCCAAUAAAAUAAAAAAUGAAUAAAAAUAACGGGUGUUGGCAUCACAACGCUUCAUUAACUGGGUGUAGACACCUGACACAGGAUGUUUUAGACUGAUACACCUGCUACAAACGUGUUAGAAACAUGAUAUAAACGUGAUAAAAACAUGUAGCAGUUAAUUAAUCCAGUUAUUUCGACGCUGAGCCGCAGACAAUUUAAGCAGAC